rnacentral:rRNA from 2 species
UACAGAGGGUGCGAGCGUUGUCCGGAAUCACUGGGCGUAAAGGGCGCGUAGGCGGCUUUUCACGCGUGCGGUGAAAGCUCGGGGCUUAACUCCGAGUCUGCCGUGCGAACGGGGAGGCUUGAGUCUGGUAGAGGUCGAUGGAAUUCCGGGUGUAGCGGUGGAAUGCGUAGAGAUCCGGAAGAACACCGGUGGCGAAGGCGGUCGACUGGGCCAGUACUGACGCUGAGGCGCGACAGCGUGGGGAGCAAACAGG